rnacentral:rRNA from 1 species
AACGAACGCUGGCGGCAGGCCUAACACAUGCAAGUCGAACGAUAUAGUGGCAGACGGGUGAGUAACGCGUGGGAACGUACCUUUCGCUACGGAAUAGCUCUGGGAAACUGGUGGUAAUACCGUAUACGCCCUUAGGGGGAAAGAUUUAUCGGCGAAAGAUCGGCCCGCGUUAGAUUAGGUAGUUGGUGGGGUAAUGGCCUACCAAGCCUACGAUCUAUAGCUGGUCUGAGAGGAUGAUCAGCCACACUGGGACUGAGACACGGCCCAGACUCCUACGGGAGGCAGCAGUGGGGAAUCUUGCACAAUGGGCGAAAGCCUGAUGCAGCCAUGCCGCGUGAAUGAUGAAGGCCUUAGGGUUGUAAAAUUCUUUCGCUAGGGAUGAUAAUGACAGUACCUAGUAAAGAAGCCCGGCUAACUUCGUG